GGCGGUCUGAGGCGAUAGUUUUGUUGCGAUCUUGUUUAGUGUCCUCUUCAAAAUGAGUGCUUUAAACCCUUUUGACGGCAUCGAUGAGCCAGUGAGACCUACAGCUGGAGUGUCACGGAAGGAGACAUUCCAUUCUUUUCUGCCUGAAACUGCAACAAAGUUUGAGAAAAUUCAAGCCGAUGGAGCUAUAAAGACUUUCAGCCAAUGUUUGCAAAGGCAUCUUGUUGACAAAUAACAGUGAUUGCUUUUCAC